rnacentral:rRNA from 1 species
UAGGGAAUCUUCCGCAAUGGGCGAAAGCCUGACGGAGCAACGCCGCGUGAGUGAAGAAGGAUUUCGGUUCGUAAAGCUCUGUUGUUAGGGAAGAAUGAUUGUGUAGUAACUAUACACAGUAGAGACGGUACCUAACCAGAAAGCCACGGCUAACUACGUGCCAGCAGCCGCGGUAAUACGUAGGUGGCAAGCGUUGUCCGGAAUUAUUGGGCGUAAAGCGCGCGCAGGUGGUUUAAUAAGUCUGAUGUGAAAGCCCACGGCUCAACCGUGGAGGGUCAUUGGAAACUGUUACACUUGAGUGCAGGAGAGAAAAGUGGAAUUCCUAGUGUAGCGGUGAAAUGCGUAGAGAUUAGGAGGAACACCAGUGGCGAAGGCGGCUUUUUGGCCUGUAACUGACACUGAGGCGCGAAAGCGUGGGGAGCAAACAGGAUUAGAUACCCUGGUAGUCCACGCCGUAAACGAUGAGUGCUAAGUGUUGGUCUCAUAAGAGAUCAGUGCUGCAGCUAACGCAUUAAGCACUCCGCCUGGGGAGUACGACCGCAAGGUUG